rnacentral:rRNA from 1 species
CAAUUUAUUGGGAAAGUGUGGCGAAGGAAAUCCGUUAAGCAAACCGCCUGGGGAGUACGGCCGCAAGGCUAAAACUCAAAGGAAUUGGCGGGGAGGCACACAACCAGUGGAACAUGUGGCUCAAUUCGAAACAAAACGAAGAACCUCACCAAGGCUUGACAUACAGCUGCUAAUCCUAUGAAAGUAGGACUCUUUCGAAGGUGCUGUACAGGUGCUGCAUGGCUGUCGUCAGUUCGUUCCGUGAGGAGUGCCCUUAAGUGGGACAACGAACGCAACCCCCAUCUUAUGUUACAAGUAUCAUAAGAGACUGCCCGAUCUUUGAUCGGGAGGAAGGAGGGGCAGACGUCAAGUCAGCAUGGUCCUUAUGCCUUGGGCUGCACACAUGUUACAAUGGGAAGAACAAUGAGCUUAGCAAAUCGGCGACGGUAAGCGAAUCUCAUAAAUCUUCUCUCAGUUGGGAUUGAAGGCUGAAACCCGCCUUCAUGAACUCGGAAUUGGUAGUAAUCGCAGGUCAGCUAUACUGCGGUGAAUGCGUUCUUGCCUCUUGCACACACCGCCCGUCAAGCCAACAAAGUCGUUGGUAUUCGAACCUCGAUGUAUUUCGGGGGAGAGUACCGAUGGCGAUGAGGGUUAAGUCGUAACAAGGUAGCCG